rnacentral:rRNA from 1 species
UUCCGGUUGAUCCUGCCAGAGGCUACUGCUAUUGGAAUGCGACUAAGCCAUGCGAGUCAAGGGGUUCUUCGGAGCACCGGCGUAUGGCUCAGUAACAUGUGGGUAACCUACCCUCAGGAGGGGGAUAACCUCGGGAAACUGAGGCUAAUAUCCCAUAGACAAAAGAUACUGGAAUGUUCUUUUAUCGAAAGCUCCGGCACCUGAGGAUGGGCCUGCAUUCGAUUAGGUUGUUGGUGAGGUAAUGGCUCACCAAGCCUACGAUCGGUACGGGUCGUGAGAGCGAUAGCCCGGAGAUGGGGACUGAGACAAGGCCCCAGGCCCUACGGGGCGCAGCAGGCGCGAAACCUCUGCAAUGUGUGAAAACAUGACAGGGGUAUUCCAAGUGCCCUUGUUUUGCAAGGGCUUUUCUUCGGUCCAAGACGCCGGAGGAAUAAGAGCUGGGUAAGACCGGUGCCAGCCGCCGCGGUAACACCGGCAGCUCAAGUGGUAGCCGCUAUUAUUGGGCCUAAAGCGUUCGUAGCCGGGCAAGUAAGUGUUCUGGUAAAUCCCAUAACUUAAUUAUGAGACUUCAGAAUAUACUGCUUGUCUUGAGACCGGGAGAGGCUGGAGGUACUUUUGGGGUAGGGGUAAAAUCCUAUAAUCCCAAAGGGACCACCGGUGGCGAAGGCGUCCAGCCAGAACGGGUCUGACGGUGAGGGACGAAACCCAGGGGAGCGAGUCGGAUUAGAUACCCGGGUAGUCCUGGGCGUAAAUGAUGUGGGCUAGGUGCAAAGCUACCUAAGUGGUAGCUUGGUGCCGAUGGGAAGCCGUUAAGCCCACCGCCUGGGGAGUACGGUCGCAAGGCUGAAACUUAAAGGAAUUGGCGGGGGAGCACCACAAGGGGUGGAGGCUGCGGUUUAAUUGGAUUCAACGCCGGGAAACUCACCGGGGGCGACAGCAGUAUGAAGGUCAGGCUGAUGACCUUACCAGACAAGCUGAGAGGAGGUGCAUGGCCGUCGUCAGCUCGUACCGUGAGGCGUCCUGUUAAGUCAGGUAACGAGCGAGACCCUCGCCCACAGUUGCCAGCAGAUCCUUUUGGAUACUGGGGACUCUGUGGGGACCGCUGGUGCUAAAUCAGAGGAAGGAGAGGACGACGGUAGGUCAGUAUGCCCCAAAUCUCCCGGGCUACACGCGGCCUACAAUGGACGAAACAAUUGGCUCCAACCCCGAAAGGGGAAGGUAAUCCUCUAAAUUCGUUCUAAGUUCGGAUUGAGGGCUGUAACUCGCCCUCAUGAAGCUGAAAUCCCUAGUAAUCGCGUGUCAUCAUCACGCGAUGAAUGUGUCCCUGCUCCUUGCACACACCGCCCGU